rnacentral:rRNA from 1 species
GACGCUGGCGGAGGCUAACAUGCGCUGAAGCGCGCCUUCGGGUGAGCGCCGGAGCGGGUAUAGUAACGCGUGGGAACGUGCCCUUCUCUACGGAAUAGCCUCUGGAAACGGAGAGUAAUACCGUAUACGCCCUUUGGGGGAAAGAUUUAUCGGAGAAGGAUCGGCCCGCGUUAGAUUAGGUAGUUGGUGGGGUAACGGACUACCACAGCCUACGAUCUAUAUACUGGUUUUAAAAGGAUGAUCCAAGAACACUGAGGACUGAGACACGGCCCAGACUCCUACGGGAAGGAGCAGUGGGGAAUCUUAGACAAUGGGGGCAACCCUGAUCUAGCCAUGCCGCGUGAGUGAUAGAAAGCCUUAGGGUCGUAAAGCUCUUAUGCCUGGUAAUGAUAUUGACAGUAGCAAGGUAAAGAAACCCCGGGAUAACUCCGAUGCCAGAAAGACGCGGUAAAUACCGAAGGGGGAUUGAGGUAGGUUCGGAAUUACAUGGGCGUAAAAGAGCGCGUAUGCGCGAUACUAAAGUAGGAGUGAAAUCCACGAGGAUCAAACUGGGAACUGGC